CUGUUCCUUUAUUGAAAGAUGGCUUCGGCUAUCACUUACAGAUGGGCCCGCGGCGCAUUAGCUAGUUGGUGAGGUAACGGCUCACCAAGGCGACGAUGCGUAGCCGACCUGAGAGGGUGAUCGGCCACACUGGGACUGAGACACGGCCCAGACUCCUACGGGAGGCAGCAGUAGGGAAUCUUCCGCAAUGGACGAAAGUCUGACGGAGCAACGCCGCGUGAGCGAUGAAGGCCUUCGGGUCGUAAAGCUCUGUUGUUAGGGAAGAAUAAGUGCUAGUUGAAUAAGCUGGCACCUUGACGGUACCUAACCAGAAAGCCACGGCUAACUACGUGCCAGCAGCCGCGGUAAUACGUAGGUGGCAAGCGUUGUCCGGAAUUAUUGGGCGUAAAGCGCGCGCAGGCGGUUUCUUAAGUCUGAUGUGAAAGCCCCCGGCUCAACCGGGGAGGGUCAUUGGAAACUGGGAAACUUGAGUGCAGAAGAGGAAAGUGGAAUUCCAAGUGUAGCGGUGAAAUGCGUAGAGAUUUGGAGGAACACCAGUGGCGAAGGCGACUUUCUGGUCUGUAACUGACGCUGAGGCGCGAAAGCGUGGGGAGCAAACAGGAUUAGAUACCCUGGUAGUCCACGCUGUAAACGAUGAGUGCUAAGUGUUAGAGGGUUUCCGCCCUUUAGUGCUGAAGUUAACGCAUUAAGCACUCCGCCUGGGGAGUACGGUCGCAAGACUGAAACUCAAAGGAAUUGACGGGGGCCCGCACAAGUGGUGGAGCAUGUGGUUUAAUUCGAAGCAACGCGAAGAACCUUACCAGGUCUUGACAUCCUCUGACAACCCUAGAGAUAGGGCUUUCCCUUCGGGGACAGAGUGACAGGUGGUGCAUGGUUGUCGUCAGCUCGUGUCGUGAGAUGUUGGGUUAAGUCCCGCAACGAGCGCAACCCUUGAUCUUAGUUGCCAGCAUUCAGUUGGGCACUCUAAGGUGACUGCCGGUGACAAACCGGAGGAAGGUGGGGAUGACGUCAAAUCAUCAUGCCCCUUAUGACCUGGGCUACACACGUGCUACAAUGGAUAGUACAAAGGGUUGCAAGACCGCGAGGUGGAGCUAAUCCCAUAAAACUAUUCUCAGUUCGGAUU
rnacentral:rRNA from 1 species